UGUGUGUGUUAGAUAGGGCUGAUUUGCCUGGCUGAAGACACAAAGCAGGAUUAUAAAGCCACUAGGGUUAGAGUUAUGGGUAGAGCAGGGCCCACCAGACACAGUAUGGAGAGAGAGAUAGAGAGAGAGGUAGAGAGAGGGAAAGGUAGAGAGAGAGAGAGAGGUAGAGAGAGGGGGAGGUAGAGAGAGGGAGAGGUAGAGAGAGAGAGGUAGAGAGAGAGGUAGGUAGAGAGAGAGGUAGAGAGAGAGAGAGGGAGGUAGAGAGAGGUAGAGAGAGGGAGGUAGAGAGGUAGAGAGAGAGGUAGAGAGAGAGGUAGAGAGGUAGAGAGGGAGGUAGAGAGGUAGAGAGGUAGAGAGAGAGGUAGAGAGGUAGAGAGGUAGAGAGAGAGGUAGGGGUAGAGCAGGGCCCACCAGACACAGUAUGGAGAGUGGGAGGUAGAGAGAGAGAGGUAGAGAGAGAGGUAGGUAGAGAGAGAGGUAGAGAGAGAGACAGACAGGGAGAGAACAGGUCAUCCAGCCUUUCAGUUCCUCCACCCUCACAUGCUAUGACAUCUUCUGGUUUCAAUGAUGUUUCUAGAGACAAUAUCUCUCUCAUCGUCACUCAAUGCCCAGGUUCACCUCCACUGUAUUCACAUCCUGCCAUACCUUUGUCUGUACAUUAUACCUCAAAGCUAUUUUAUCGCCCCC
rnacentral:lncRNA from 1 species